UGACAAGAAAUAAUGUUAUUCCUACUGGACAGCUUAAGUGGGUUAAAAUUUUAGGUGAACAGAAUCUGAACUGGAAAAAGAUUUUCAGACUGCCUUUUGCUGUUACUAAAAAUAGUAAAUUACAGUGGUUGCAAUAUAGGAUUAACCAUUGCAUUAUUGCCACAAAUCAGUAUUUAGUUAAAAUAAAAUUGACUGAUGAUCCUUUAUGUACAUUUUGUAAAUCAGAUAAUGAGUCUAUAGAACACCUAUUUUGGAAUUGCAAUACUGUACAAGAUUUUCUACAGGAUGUUGAUAACUGGUUCCUUUCCGGUGGAAUAAGUCUCCCAAUAAAUAAAUUAAACUUUCUUUUUGGAGACUUAUCCAAGAUAUUUCCCAACAACCCAUAUAACAUGAUUUUUCUUUAUAUUAAACAAUAUGUGUAUAAUUCUAGAUGCUUUAAAAAGAAUCUCUCAUUGCAAGCAAUUAUAAU
rnacentral:lncRNA from 1 species